AAGACAGCCUUCUUUUGUGGUUUCUUUGGCAAGUGGCUUCUUGUAGGAACUGGACAUGCUGAUGUCUUCCAACGACCGGCACAAAAUAUUUCCCUCAAUCAAUCGAGCACAUUGGUAGCGAACGGUCUGAUCUGGUCAUGAUAUUCCCACGCCAUCAUACCCAAAAGCUACAGCCUGCACGCAGUCAAUCAGGCUGUAUUUAUUACGCAGGCCUUCCUAAUAAUCAAGAACCUGAGUUGGCGGCAUGCACACUACAUGGCAACAGUUAGAACUGGUAGAUCAAUGUAAUAGAGUAUAAACAGUAAAA